CACACUAUUACACUACACUACCACACAACUCUACUAUAUUACAAUACUACACACCCACAGUAACACACAACUCUACUACAAUAUUGCACUAUACUACCACACAGCUCUAUUGCACUAUACUACCACACAACUCUACUAUAUUACCAUACUACACACCCACAGUACCACACAACUCUACAACAAUAUUACACUACACCAACACACAACUCUACUAUAUUACCAUACUACACCCACAGUAACACACAACUCUACUACAAUAUUGCACUAUACUACCACACAACUCUAUUGCACUACACUACCACACAACUCUACUAUAUUACUAUACUACACACCGACAGUACCACACAACUCUACUACAAUAUUACACUACACUAACACAUAACUCUAUUACAUUCCACUUCCACACAACUCUACUAUAUUACCAUACUACACCCACAGAAACACACAACUCUACUACAAUAUUACACUAAACUAACACACAACUCUAUUACAUUACACUUCCACAAAACUCUACUAUAUUACCAUACUACACCCACAGAAACAAACAAUUCUACUACAAUAUCGCACUAUACUACCACACAACUCUAGUACACUACACUAACACAAAACUCUACUAUAUUACCAUACUACACCCACAGUAACACACACCUCUACAACAAUAUUACACUACACUAACACACACCUCUACUAUAUUACCAUACUACACCCACAGUAACACACAACUCUACUACAAUAUUGCACUAUACUACCACACAACUCUAGUACACUACACUAACCCACCACCCUACUAUAUUACCAUACUACACUCACAGUAACACACAAAUGUAGUACAAUAUUAUAAUACACUACCACACAACUCUACUAUAUUACACUACCACACAACUCUAUUACAUUACACUACCACCCAACUCUAUUACACUACACUACCACACAACUCUAUUACAUUACACUACCACACAACUCUAUUACACUACACUACCACACAACUCUAUUACACUACACUACCACACAACUCUAUUACAUUACACUACCACACAAAUCUAGUACAAUAUUACACUACACGACCACACAACUCUAUUACAGUACACUACCACCCAACUCUAUUACACUACACUACCACACAACUCUAUUACAUUACACUACCACACAACUCUAUUACACUACACUACCACACAACUCUAUUACACUACACUACCACACAACUCUAUUACAUUACACUACCACACAACUCUAUUACAUUACACUACCACACAAAUCUAGUACAAUAUUACACUACACUACCACACAACUCUAUUACAUUACACUACCACCCAACUCUAUUACACUACACUACCACACAACUCUAUUACACUACACUACCACACAACUCUAUUACAUUACACUACCACACAACUCUAUUACAUUACACUACCACACAAAUCUAGUACAAUAUUACACUACACUACCACACAACUCUAUUACAUUACACAACUCUAUUACAUUACACUACCACACAACUCUAUUACACUACACUACCACACAACUCUAUUACACUACACUACCACACUGCACCAGCUGACUCCAGUGACCCAUAAAGAAAUGUUUCAUUUCAUGUUUUCAGCAUCUAUGUACUCUGUAUUAUAGCAUGUGGUUUCUGAUGUAUAGCAGGAUAAAAUGUUCCUGCUUCUGCUGCUUAGUUGGGACAUGUCUAUUUUAUGGCAUUGUGCUGGCAGGGUCCUGUGGCCAUACAGUAUGCAUGCAGCAUUCAGCUCACCAGCGUCCUCUCCUCAAUGGCUCGUUACUUGCAAAGACAUGCUAUGAUAUAGAGCUUUUGUGAAUAACUUAAAUGAAUGCAUGAAGAGACACACGUGUGAUUGAGUGCAUUUCUAUUUAUAUAUACAUUUUAUCAGCUGAAUACAUUUCAUAUUACUGAAUCAGAGAAUGUAGCACUUUAAUACUUUACGAGGAGUAUUUAUAUAGUAGGAUCUUUUUUAGAAAUGAGAUACUUGGUAAUAAGUUGAUAUGUUUAUGAAUGUAUAACUGUGAAUUCCAGUUGAUUUAACAUAAAGGGCUAUUGUUUGAGCCAUCAGGGUGUUUCUUGAUUCUCAGGUAUAUCAAAUCAAUGAAAGCUCAACACAAACUGUACACCUUUUUCCUAUUUGUAUGUUUUAUGUUUUUUGAGCUCAUAUAAUAUAAUAUUAUGGUUUGUUUUAUUUGAUUCAUAAUGUAACAUGAGAAAACAUGUUUUCCUAUUUAUAAAAUAUUGUUUUAUAUCCUUUGAAUAUAAAAUGUAAGGGCAGGAAUUCACUUGUUAAAUGAAUCUGUAAAAGUCGGCAGACAGCAGUUCUAAGGCCUGAGCUGAAAGAUUAAAGGCCAGCAGCAAUUUAAUUUCCCAUAGUCAUGGUAACAAGACUGUCUUUGAACAGUCAGAGAAGUAAUGAAUUCAUACCUCUAUAAAGGGGACAAUUGUAGCCAUAAAUAUGUCUUAAAAUAUGUAACAUUUAAAACUUGUAACAUUUAAAGGAAAUUCAUUAAUGUAAGCUGCAACAUGAAUUAAGUGGUGUGAUCGUUCUUGUUUUGUAUUGAAUGUCUACAUGUCGUAGAUGGUGCUUUUUUCGAAACCUCUGUGUACUUAAUGUAUUGUCUUUGGUAGUCAACAUUAGACAAAAAAGCAUUGUUUGUGCUGAACUGUAGGGCUUGCUGUAUGGUUGUUUGACCACAGAGGAGCACUGAUGGUUCCUUGUGUUUGUAUCAGAGAAAAUCCCUGACCGACAAGCUACUUUUACUCAUCCAGUAAAAUAUAGGCCAAUAGGUUGGUCAGUAUUCAUUCUGCAGUCCGCUGAUUCCUUGUUCCCAGGUAAUGUGAGCAGGAAGGUGGAGGUGGCCCAUUCUAAGACGGUUGGGUCCAAUAAGUGUCCGCCUGUCAUACUGUCCUCCAGCCUCAUCCAGGUCUCACGGGCAGAUGGCUGAGCAGGAAGGUGGAGUUAGACGGUUGGUUCCAGUAAGCGUCCGCCUCUCAUACUGUCCUCCAGCCUCAUCCUGGUCUCACAGGGCAGAUGGCUGAGCAGGAAGGUGGAGUUAGACGGUUGGUCCCUGUGUCAUACUUUUCUCUGGCCUCAUCCUGGUCUCAGGGGGCAGAUGGCAGAGCAGGCAGUCCCUGUGAACACAUAGCAGUGUGCUGCAGGGCAAAUAAAAAAUUGCAUGGUACAAUAUGGAUACCACUUACCCUAUGGUGGUAGUUUUUUUUGUUGAAUGACCUCGUGUUGCGGAAAGGGGAAACCGAUAGCAGUGGAAAGCAGUGGGCAGAAUCCUAGCUCUUAUGUAGUUCAUGCAAUAGCUGGAUCACUACACUGGCAUAUGCCAAGGCCUAUUUGGCCUUCAAGGAGACUUAUGCAAAAUGAUUAUUCACAGUACAUUAGAGAAUCCCACAGACCGAAGCUCCUUUUCUCCACUAUUUCUAAAUUGACUUUAUAUCCUGUGUUUACCUACUGUAGUGUCGGGACUGGGAUGUAUUCUGUGCAGUUAACCUUCACUAUGGAGGAGAUGAUUUUGUGAGCAUAAUUGUUUGGGCUUUAGAUAAGCCUGCAAAUGAUGUAAAGAUGUGUAGAGCACAGUGAACCUAAACUGUAAUGUCAUCAGUAUUCAAUGAGCUUCGCCUCUGCGCUAAUCAAGCACAAACAUUGAUCAAAAUGUUCCCCUGGUACAGAGAGUAGAAUAGAAUAACUUGUCUUUGAUCUUGAACCUUAAAGAGCUGGACGGGGCAGCGAGCUGCAGCACCACAGCUCAAACAGGCAGAUGCUGUUCUUUGUAAAUUCCAUGUAAUUUAAUGAGACAUCGCUCAACCACAAGUAUAUUCUCCUUUUGCUGAUCAUGUGAGAUUGUUUGGGCGUGUUGGUAGUCUACCUCACACUGGGAUGGGAAACUUUAUUCUGAAAUGUAAAUGUCUUUGAUUUGAUUGUUUAUCCAAGUUUUUAAAUGUUGUCUUGUCAUUGUCACUUUCUGUUUUGGUUUCCCUUCAUACAGAAAUAAACUGUAUUUGAUCUUAA